UUGAGCGAUCCAUGAAAAAAUUGAUUCUAAACUCGUUUCAAAAGUAGGGGGCGCCAGCGUUUCGUUUCUGAUGUCAUUUCCGAAUUUUGCCCCCCAAAAAAUUCGAAAUUAACGAAAAUUCGUUAUUUUCUAAAUUAAUUCGUUAAUGGCGGACGCGCAUGCGCAGUGGCCAAAAAAAAACAGCAUGAGGGGAGAUUUUACAGGACUCUCCCGCCCUCAUUUUUUGAGUGAUCUUCUUCAAACUUGGUACAGUGGUAGAACACAUUUAUCACUGAUAGCUCACCAAAAUUUGGAACGUUUCCCUUAUCCUCUGAUUUUUGGCGAAUUUUCAUAGCUUUUAUAAUAAACCAUUUUUUAAUAAUUGCAGAAAUCUGUUCCUGGUUUGAAAGUCUUAUUUCCUGUUUCAUUGGGUUGUCUUUACUGUGAAAGUCAUUGUUCUACUUCAGAAACUUUGUUUUUGUGGCUGAAACUUUGUUAAAUUGGUGGACCAAACCAUAAUAUGUUCCAUCCAUGUCGCUUGCACAAAGUUCAGGCAGUGUCAUAGAUUUUGCCAUGUUUCUAUGACAGAACCAAUUAGGAAAUGACAUUUAUCACCCAGGAACAGAAAUCAUAGUACACCAUCAAAUCCUUCCUGACAGAUGGCCAUCAGCCUCUGAAUAAGGAAAUUAGUUCCUGGUUUGAAAGUGCUAUUUCCUGUUCCAUUGGCUUUUCUGGGCUGAGAGUGUGUGACUUGCCCAAGUGGGUGGCAGAGUGGGGAAUCAUGCCACAAUUGGAGUCCAAAAUUCAAACCUCUUCCUCCCUCCUUCUCUCUAAACUUCUCAUACCUUCCAAGAAUUCACAUACUGUAUGAAAGUUUGGUCAAGAUGGUCAGAGGAGGGCAACUAAAAUGAUCUAGGGUCUGGAGAACAAGCCCUAUGAGGAGUGGCUUGAAGAACUGGGCAUGUUUAGCCUGCAGAAAAGAAGGCUGAGAGGAGACAUGAUGUAUAAUAUGUGAGGGGAAGUCAUAGAGAGGAGGGAGCAAGCUUGUUUUCUGCUGUCCUGCAGACUAGGACACUGAACAAUGGCUUUAAACUACAGGAAAGGAGAUUUCACCUGAACAUUAGGAAGAACUUCCUCACUGUGAGCUGUUCAGCUGUGGAACUCUCUCCCCGGGCUGUGGUGGAGGUUUCUUCUUUGGAGGCUUUUAAGCAGAGGCUGGAUGGCCAUCUCUUGGGAGGGAUUGGAUGGUGUCUUCCUGCCUGGCAGAAGGGGUUGGGCUGGAUGGCCCACGAGGUCUCUUCCAACUCUACUGUUCAAUGACGCUAUGAUUCUAAGUGAGGACAAAAGGGGGUGGGGAAUGUUAAGAGGAGAGAGGGCCUGGAACACCUGGGAAUUGUAGUUUGCAAGUGGGCAUAGUACUAUUGGAGAAACGUUUGCUUCAGCCCAAUGCUUUUAUAAAUGGUCAAUAUUCAGAGGCUUCCUUCUCCUGCAUUUUGAAAGCUAUUAUGAUGAAAUUUGCCAGAAUGGAAGCAAAAAUUAAGUACUCUUAGCCUAUCAAGUUUCAUAAUGUUUGACCCAUCCACUGAUUUUUGGGGAUUUCUGAAGCAACAUUUUUUUAAAAUGUUAGCAGAUCGAUAGCCACGCCUCCCUGUCCUUCUUCCUUCCACUUUGAUUGGCUUGCUAAGGCUUCUGGGAAAUGGAGUUUUUUCUCUCGUUAUGGCGAAUUGCUUCAUUAAUGGUCAAUAUUCAGAGGCUUCGUUCUCCUGCAUUAUGAAAGCUAUUAUGAUGAAAUUUGCGAGAAUGGAAGCAAAAAUUAAGUACUCUUUGCCUAUCAAGUUUCAUAAUGUUUGACCCAUCCACUGAUUUUUGGGGAUUUUUGAAGCAACAUUUUUUUUAAAAUGCUAGCAGAUCGAUGUCCAUGCCUCUCCCUCCCUCCCUCUUCCGCUCUGAUUGGCUGAGAGGCAUGCCAACAUGGCUUCUCCUCUCAGAGGGGCUACAGCUUCAUCCGAAGACAUCAGAAACAAACGAAAAAAGGUACUUUUAUUAUUCAAAUUCGUAAUAUUUGUAAGGGCAGUGAGCAGAUGGUUCAAUAUUAAUUCAAAAUUGCUUACGAAACGAAUUUUUAACGAAUUUAACGAAAUAACGAAAAAUUUGCUCUAGCCUAUUGUUUAUGUAGACAUUGAAUGCCUGUUACUAUGUUGGAAGCUGGCCUGAGGCGCCAUGGGGAGAUAGGACAGGGUACAAAUGAAGUUGUUGUUGUUGUUGUUGUUAUUAUUAUUUUAUUGUUAAUACCAUAUUGUUUUUGUUGACCCUACUUUUCCACUUACAGAACUAAUUUACUAUUUUUCUUUGAAAUAUGGCAAAUAUUCAAAAACCUUUAACCUACUGAUUAAUUUCAUUGGGAUCUAUGGAGAUUUUGAAAUUUACCAGUAGCUGCUGCAUUUUCCACCCUCGGCUUAUAUUCGGGUUAAUAGGUUUCCACAGUUUUUUUGUGGUAAAAUUAGGUGGCUCGGCUUAUAGUAGGGUCAGCUUAUACUCAAGUAUUCCUGCCAACCUAGCAGUCCGAAAACAUGCAAAUGUGAGUAGAUCAAUAGGCACCGUUCUGGCGGGAAGGUAACGGCGAUCCACGCAGUCAUGGACCUUGGAGGUGACCUUGGAGGUGUCUAGGGACAACACCGGCUCUUUGGCUUAGAAAUGGAGAUGAGCACCAACCCCCAGAGUCGGUCACAACUGGACUUAACAUCAGGGGAAACCUUUACCUUUACCUAUACUCGAGUAUAUACAGUAAGAGUGCUUCACAAAAACAGCACUUUUUAAUUAUACAGUACAAUUGGGAAAAAAUUAAGCAUUUUUUUAAAACUUUGGCAUCCUUUUUAGGUGCAGAGUUAUUGUACACUUAGUAAAUAAUUGUAGAAUUGUGGGUUAUGGCUUUUAUAUUUGCUGACAAGUGGAAAAAGCUGCAGUUCACUUUAAGGCAAUGCUUGCUUUAUCAUAGUGGUCUGGAACCAAACUUACCAUAUUAGCAAAGUAUGCCUGUACUAGACUUUGGCAUGCCAUCAAUUCCAUUUUCUGUAAAUUAACAGAGCAAUUCUACCUUGCUCCCUAGAGAGCCACACUGUCAGAGCAGCCAAAAUACUCAAAGUUCAUGGAGAAAAUAUAGUAGAAAAUAAGUAUUUUCCUUCCUUCCUAGCUACUUUUGUUUUUUAGAUUCCUUCUCAAAGAAACCAAUAGCAGGUAACUGAAAAACAGUAACUCAAAGCUUUGCAUAGAUUAGGAAUGAGUAAUGAUAAGUCUUGGGCAGGUUCUUCCAAUUCACUGUCCCAUCUGACAUAACCACUGCUGUACCCUGAUCUACUUUCCUGCCCAUCCUCUUUCAUUUUGGACAGGGACCCAGAGGAGGUCCAACCAUAAGGCGAACUAGGCACUUGCCUGUGGCGCCAUCGUCCCAGGGGCGCCAUCGUCCUGAGAGGAGGGCACCACUCUCCACCUCCUUCUCUUUUGGGCCUUCUGGCGGCCACGCUGGGCCUCCUGGUGCCCGUGCUGGGCUUUCCGGCCGGCGCAGACCCACCUUCGCACCACAGGAGCCCACCUUUGGGGCCUUCAGAGAUUGUGAGGUCUGUGGGAACUUGGAAGCUAGGUAUGUGGGGUUUAUAUAUCUGUAGAAGGUCCAGGGUGGGAGAAAGAACUUUUCUUUGAAGCAGGUGUGAAUGUUGUAAUUAAUUACCUUGAUUAGCAUUUAAUGGCCCUGUGGCUUCAAGGCCUGGCUUCUUCUGGCCUGGGAGAAUCUUUUUUUGGGAGGAGUUAGCUGUCCCUGAUUGUUUACUGUCUGGAUUUCUUCUGUUUUCAGAGUGUUGUUCUUUAUUUAUUAUCCUGAUUUUAGAGUUUUUUUUAAUACUGAGGGCUAUCUGGGUUAUCUAAGUCCACACUGCCCUAUAUCCCUGUUCAAUCUUUAGUGCUAAAUUUGCAAAUAUAGUAAUUCCUACAUAACAUUACCAUGUAUUGAACUGCUUUUUUCUAUUGAUUUGUUGUAAAACAUGAUGUUUUGGUUCUUAAUUUGUAAAAUCAUAAUGUAAUUUGAUGUUUAAUAGGCUUUUCCUUUAUCUUUCCUUAUUAUCCAACAUUUUCGCUUAUCCAACGCUUUUAUUUUUCAGUGAUUGGUUUGGGGGGGGGGGCAAAAUUCUGUUCGCCUACACUUGAAAAAUACCUAGGGCCGGCUCUGCAGGGACCAAAGAUGCUCUGAGGGAAAAUCAGAUGUUGGAUUUCUCUCUCUUUUUCUUGGUGCAUAUCUAUGAGGGAUAUGCAAUUCAGUUAAACCCUAUUGUGUUUUUGGUGUCCUGAAUUUGGUGGUCCCUUAAUCUGGUUUUCGGGAGCUUCUUGAAUUUGAGUGGGCAAAAAUUCAUAUUUUAAUUUAGCGGCUGAAAGAUCAAGUUUUGCUUUGGGAAGAUCUGACCCAUUGUUAACAGUACAGUUAACCAUGCCUCUGACAAUGAAGCAUUUUUUCACAAAGGUUUAAAUCUGGCCAUUCUCCCUUUCCUCUUAAUCCUCCGGCUACCUGGAUGUUUUUAGGAGCAUUGGCAUCGAGAGGAUAAUGAAAAGGAAGCGCAGACUUUCAGUGUUGGGUUGCAGUAAUGUCAACAAUAUAAUGAAAAAACCCUGAGCUGCGAAAACUGUGAUCAACAUUCUAGUCAAUCCUACUGUUGCCAUGUGUGCCUGCCUAUAUGGCCAGGUAAACAACAGCUGCCUCUAGAAUCCCUUACUGAGCGUGGUUAAACAGCAAAACACAGAGAAAGAGGAUAAUAGAUAAGCACAUUGAAAAAGCAUAGACCUGUAAGAUCAACCACCAAAAUGGAAAUUACAAGCAAAGUGGAAGUCAAUGAAAAAAAAAAGUAAUCCUUGACUGCAUUUUGGAAGAACCUUUAAGUAGUAUCCAGAAGUUCACAAAGUUUUGUUUGCUCGUACAAGGCUUAUUUGUCUUGGUUGUGUCACGCGUUCAAUUUAAAGUGCUAGAUGGCUCAGGCCCAGACUAUAUGAAGGAUUUUUUCUAGACUUAUAUAUAAGUAUAUCUGGCAAUUCUGUUGUUUAAUACUGUUUUAAUCUUGUAUGUUUUCAAACUAUGCAUCUUUUAUUGUAUUCUUUUCAAAAGGCAUCUUGCAUUUCAGCCUGGAAGAAAGGCAGGCUAUAUAUAUAAAGUGAUGGAUGGAGGGAUAUUCAUAUUCUCAGUUUUGAACAAAAUGUUUCCUGAAAUGUGUUGAACUGCUCUUCUUUUUAAAAGUGUAUGAACCUAUAUCCAUAUUCCUUUCAUGUUAUUUCUGCUUCUGGUUCCAAUUUUUUUGUUAGAAGUCAUGCCCAGGAAUACAUCUACUUCAUUAAUUGAGGUAUACAUGUAAUCAUAUGGUUUUCAAAUGAUUAAAAGUGAUCUGUGAUGCAUCUUAUCCUACUAGAUAUAAUGUCAUGUACCAUAUUUAGACUUCUUAGAAAGUGAGAAAAUAAAAACAACUGUCAUGUAUCUCCAUCUCUGUGACAAGACCAGUCUAGAAUUGGUAGACAUGGAGGCAAUCUAUGAAGAAGCCCAGCCAUGAGAUCAAUGGUAGUGGUGUUCGUUGGGCUACCUGCUCACCAUUGAUUUCAUGUCUUAUUCUGACCUCUUAUUCCAUCUUCACAAGCAUGGCUCUGCUGGGAAGGUGCAGAAAAGGCAAUGGUGGUGUGUUGGUAGCCUGAGGAGAAAGACACACUUUAUUUUGCUUUUUCAAGAGCAACUGUCUCACCAUUGAUCUCAUUCAUGGCCAGCCUCGGCUGAGACGCAGGUAACAGCCUGAAGGAGAAGGAGAAAAAACAUCAGUUAUGAUCUGAAUUUGGCAGGGAUAGGAGUGUUAAUGUUGGGUGAGGUUUCUAUAGCAGCUAUAAAGACAACUGCUUACAACUCAUCCCGUGUAAGGUGCUUUAGAUGGGCCCCUACCAUCUUGAAAUGCUUGAUCCCAAUAGGUUCUAAGGCCACUGCUCUGAUGGGAAUCACAGCCUCACAUCCAAGCAAAUGUAGCUUUACUGUAUUCUUCAUGUACAGGCAUACUUUAAUUACAAGUUGAGUAAAAUGAGUUGUUCCCUGAAAGGGGGAGAUUUUUCUGGGACAGAUCUCAUCAAUACAGUUCUAUUGGUUGCUGUGUGACAGAACUACCACAGGUGUGGAGCCUGUCAGGCCAAAAACGUAACUGUUGGCCAGCGAUAAAUACAGCACUGAGAUUUCAGAGGACGUGACCAUAUUCAUUCUGGUCUUCCAGUUCUGUGCAUACUUGCAUCUCUGCCUAAGUAAACAAGGUGGCUGGAUGCUUUAUACAGAAGGCAGAUUUUUAAGCAAUUGGGGACAAUAUGUUUUCUGCUAAGUCUUAACUAAUAUGUUUAGCAAGCAGUUUUUAACUUGAAAAGCUGGAUGUAUGUUUCCAAUAAGCAUAGAGCCUGUGCGGUUACAAUCUAUCACUGCAUUAGUCUUGCUUAGACACAUUGAUUUCAGCGAGUCUACUGAGAUUUGCUUGUUCUGUUUUGCUUAUUUUUCUACUUUUUCAUUAAAGUUAUUACAAAUCCUUGGGCAGCAAGCAUAUUUAACAUGCAGAGGGUGGAAAAGUGGCAUAAUCAGAGAAAGUUCUCACUACAUUAGCAGGGUUAGGGAAAGGUGAUAUAGGACAGCCUCUCAACCUGAUAAACUCCAGGUGUUUUGGACUGCAAGUGCUAUUAUGAUAUGCCAAUGUGCUCAAUAGUGAAGAAUUGUGGGGACUUUGCCCCAAACCUCUGGACAGUAUCAAGUUAAGCUAUAACCUUUCACUAGCUCUCAUAAACCUUCACCAGUGUUCCCUACAAAUCACAACAAUAACCUUGUUUUCUGAGGAUUAUAGGGGUUGCAGUUAACUAUGGAGGAUGCCAGAUUGGGGAAGGUUGAGGUUAUAAUACUGGUAGUAUAUCAUAUUUUAUGAAGGGAGAAAAUGACUGAAGCAAAAGGAUAAAGAUGUUCCACCAAGGACUUGUUUAAAUUUAUAACAUCACAGUUUGCAAGGUCUCUCUAAAUAGCCACUUGCAAGUUGUACUUGAGUUCAGACUUGCAAGUUGUACUUGAGCUUUUUAGUAAAAUACUAAGAUUCACAAAAGCUUAGGGCCCUUCCACACAAUCAUAUAGCCCAGAAUAUCAAGGCAGAAAAUCCCACAUUAUCUGCUUUGUACUGGGUUACCUGAGUCCACACUACCAUAUAUUCCAGUUCAAAGCAGAUAAUGUGGGAUUUUAUUCAGCUGUGUGGAAGUGGCCCCAGUCUUUGGGUAGAAAAGAAGCAGGGAAUACAGGAACAGUUAGGAAAUAAUCCUGCCAGAACCUGUCAGAGUUAUUAAUAUUUACAGUAGAUGGACUAAUGAUUUGAUUGAAUAUAGCAUAAUGGCUCCCAAGUUCCCAAGCAUCAUCUCUAUCAUUGAACCCCCGGUGGCACAGUGGGUUAAUUCUUGAGCUGGCAGGACUGCUGACUUGAAGGUUGAGUUGCUGACCUGAAUGUUGCCAGUCCGAAUCCAACCCAGGAAGUGUGCAGAUGAGCUCUCUCUAUCAGGUCCAGCUCCAUGUGGGGACAUGAGGGAAGCCUCCCACAAGGAUGGUAAAAACAUCAAAAACAUCUCGGCAUCCCCUGGGCAACAUCCUUGCAAACAGCCAAUUGUCUCACACCAGAAAUAAAUUUCUCAAGUUGAUCCUGAUAUGAAAAAAACUCUAUCAUUUUGCAAAAACUCUAAUUAGAUUGCUAAUAGUAUCUAUAAUAUUUAAAUAAACAGAGUUACCCUCAAUGUUGAUUUAUCAAGUUUCCAUUGAUUACAUGACUCUUGCUUGCUUGGCAUGAGCAGAUGGAUUUAGGUCAAAGUCAUUUGAGGCCAGGAAUCUGUUCUGAAUAUCAAAUACAAAGUUGAGCCCAAUAUCCUGUCAUACAAACUGUCUUUGGUUUCUACAAACUUUCAUUUCAGCAAUAUAAUUUAGUAUGGAGUGCAGUAUAUUUUAUCACUAUGGUAGUGAAACCAACAGGAGUCAUAAAUCCUUACUCAUCUACUGCAACACCCCCCCCCCCAAUUUACACAUGGAUCUAGAUCCCCCUUUCCGUCAAAUUAGUUUAAAUUUUACCCAUAACUUUUAAAUCAGUGGUUUUCAAAUGGGGAUGCUCCAGAAGUAUCAACCCGCUUAGUGAAUGGUCUGUGAUUCUUGUACUUCUAGUCCAAAAUAUCCAAAGGAUUAAAAUUUGAGAACUAUAUACCUUGUUUUUGAGCAGUGCUUUAUAUCCAUGAAGGCUGUUGUGCUGAGAUAUACCUCUGAAGACACAUACAUAUAAUUCAGUCAUGCUUUCCCUGUCUGAAACAUAUUGUACCUAGGACUUAGUCCUCAGAAGACAUGCAGGAAACUGGCUGUAAUUUUUGAAUUUUGAUGAAAAAAAUAUUCAAUUGAAAAGAAUUAUCUGUAUGUGUGCACGCAUUCCCUCACCCAGGGUAUCCCUUAGAGUUUGAAAAGCUGUGCACCUUUAUAGUAAUAGAACAAUAAUUGUAGAAAUAUGUGUAAGAUAAAGGCUUAUAGUCUGCUCCAUAUGAAGCAUUUAUUUAUUACUGGACUUUCAAACUGCUCAGUAAGCAAGCUUGUUUGGAUGGAGUGCAAUACAUUAAAAGUACAAGCACUGAAAAGGUCUAAAGAUGCUUUAUAAUAAAACAGAGCUAAAAUUUUGUCCACACAUGCCUCCUCAGAGACUGAGCUUCAGAUUUGCAGGCUGGACAGCAAGCCAGAAGCCUGACAUCUACACAAGCACAGAAUUCAUAUUGGAGUUUGGCAGUGGAUUGGAGCUGUCAUGAGAUAUUGUCAUGGUACAGACGUUCCUCCUCUAUAACACCUGUCCAGAAAGUGAACACAGCUUAACUUCAAGAGUGGAGCAGCUGUGCAGUGUGGAUGGCAGAUAUAUUUUUUUUGAAUUUGAAGUUUCCCAGUUUUUUAAUCUUUUCGUAUUUGAGGUGGAAAGAAUUUGAAGUGUCAAAAUUAAAAGUGAAAAAGAAAGUAAAAUA